rnacentral:rRNA from 1 species
AUUGAACGCUGGCGGCAGGCCUAACACAUGCAAGUCGAGCGGAUGAAGGGAGCUUGCUCCUGGAUUCAGCGGCGGACGGGUGAGUAAUGCCUAGGAAUCUGCCUGGUAGUGGGGGAUAACGUCCGGAAACGGGCGCUAAUACCGCAUACGUCCUGAGGGAGAAAGUGGGGGAUCUUCGGACCUCACGCUAUCAGAUGAGCCUAGGUCGGAUUAGCUAGUUGGUGGGGUAAAGGCCUACCAAGGCGACGAUCCGUAACUGGUCUGAGAGGAUGAUCAGUCACACUGGAACGGAGACACGGUCCAGACUCCUACGGGAGGCAGCAGUGGGGAAUAUUGGACAAUGGGCGAAAGCCUGAUCCAGCCAUGCCGCGUGUGUGAAGAAGGUCUUCGGAUUGUAAAGCACUUUAAGUUGGGAGGAAGGGCAGUAAGUUGAUACCUUGCUGUUUUGACGUUACCAACAGAAUAAGCACCGGCUAACUUCGUG